rnacentral:rRNA from 1 species
UACGUAGGUGGCAAGCGUUGUCCGGAUUUAUUGGGCUUAAAGGGUGCGUAGGCGGCUUUAUAAGUCAGUGCUGAAAUAUCCCGGCUUAACCGGGAGGGUGGCAUUGAUACUGCAGAGCUUGAGUGAAGUCGAGGUAGGCGGAAUUGACGGUGUAGCGGUGAAAUGCUUAGAUAUCGUCAAGAACACCGAUAGUGAAGACAGCUUACUAGACUUCAACUGACGCUGAGGCACGAAAGUGUGGGGAGCAAACAGG